rnacentral:tRNA from 1 species
GCCUGGGUGGCUCAGUCGGUUAAGCGUCCGACUUCGGCUCAGGUCAUGAUCUCACAGUUUCAUGGGUUCGAGCCCCACCUCAGGCU